rnacentral:rRNA from 1 species
GCUUACGGCCAUACCACCCUGAACACGCCCGAUCUCGUCCGAUCUCGAAGCUAAGCAGGUCGCCUGGUUAUACUUGGAUGGGAGACCGCCUGGAAUACCAGGUGCUGUAAGCU